rnacentral:sRNA from 19 species
ACUAAAGAGGCACAUCUUACGGGAAAGUGCCCAAUUCGCGGUCAAAGUCUUGGGAGGAUAGGAUCUCAGGCGCGCUUUGUUCGCAGCCCCCGGGCAACCGGGAAACAGAUCACGCGACACCUGAACAACAAGGCUUUCAGCCUUGUUUUUUUUU